rnacentral:miRNA from 1 species
CAGAAUCUAUUCUAGUGC